GCCAUACAUUAUUACUUUGUUUAUGUCCUCCUGCAGUUCUCUUUGCCUCUCUUUGAUUAUCCCACAUUCAAGUUGGAAUUUUGAAGUUCUUGCUUAGUUUAAAUCGGUGAAGACGUCUGUUUUAAAUGUGAUAUUACAUCGAGUGGUGCUAGCUGAGGAACUCAGAAGAAUGUGAAAGUUACAUUUAUGCUUAUGCAAGGGCUCAUCAUAAUUUUCUAUGAAGAUUGAAGCUUAAAGGACAAUCUAUUUCUUUUCCAAUGAAUUCCAGUCAACUCCCUCGAUGAGCUCAACUAGAAUUAUGCUAUUGUUACUGAGAACUCCUGAAGAAAGUUCAGAGACUAACUAAAAUAGUGAGAUAAAGCUGAAAGGAGUGAAGAAGAAAGAGAAAAUCGAGGAGAAGAUAUUGUUGACCAAGAAAUCUUCAGGAAAAAAAAUACAGGACCACAACUAGAUCACAUGGUUAAUAUUUUGACUUGUAACAAGCUGAGCAUUAUUUCCACCGAAUGAGCAGAUUCAUCAUAUCAUCAAUCAACUGAU